UUUAGUUGUUAUUUACUUCACAAGAACAAUAAAACUUUCUAUUAAGUGCCAGAGAUGUAUAAUCCCACCAGAUUUAAUUUUAAACAAAUAAAUUAUCAACAUACUUCCCUAAAAAAAAAUUAUCAACAUUCUAGAUUUGUUAGGAUAUAUCAUUGUUAGUUAAAAGCUAGUUAUUUGAGGUUACUUGUUUUACAAGUAAAUGAUGACAAAUCAUCUUACAUUAUUCUUAGCAAGUUUUUUAGUCAAUUUUAGUAGAUUUUACAUCCAUAAUAGAGAAGUAUUAAAGUGAUUGUUUAUGAUUUCAGGACAUUUGUAAUAGAUGCAGUCAUUUCGGGACAUUUACUUCUAAGGAUGUUUGUAAAUCUGAACUCAUUUCACUCAGAACUUUUUAACAAAAUUAACUAGUAUAAAUAGGGGAUUUACCACUUUAUUUUUCACUACAUGUUUGUCCUAAUCACACCAAAAUUCUGUCAAAAUGUGUUUCCAACAUUCCAAUUUUAUUUUGGUCCAUCUCAACUCAUUCUAACAUUAAUAUAUACAUCCAACAUCACAUAUCACCUAAUUGUUGUGUCGCCCACAUUUUUGCGCGGAUUAAUUAUGGUUUUGAUGCUGGAGCUUGGAGGUUUUAUUUCUAUCAGCAUCCACAUUGGUAAGGUCUUUACCAAUUAAGAUUCAGUACUUAAUAGAUAUCCUUAAUAUGGGGAAAAAAAUUGAGGGUCUCUUAAGAUCUAGGUUUUAUUUAAGAUCCCAAUCUUAAGUGGACCCCACACCACUUUUCAAUAAAAUAAUAAUUAUUUGAGUUGUUUUUGUUGCUUUUCAUUAAUAUAUAGUUAUUGGUAUGACUCAUUUAGACAUUUCGAUAGAG
rnacentral:lncRNA from 1 species